rnacentral:rRNA from 1 species
CCUACGGGAGGCUGCAGUGGGGAAUAUUGGACAAUGGGGGCAACCCUGAUCCAGCCAUGCCGCGUGUGUGAAGAAGGCCCUCGGGUUGUAAAGCACUUUCAGUGAGGAAGAACGCCUGGUGGUUAAUACCCAUCAGGAAAGACAUCACUCACAGAAGAAGCACCGGCUAACUCCGUGCCAGCAGCCGCGGUAAUACGGAGGGUGCGAGCGUUAAUCGGAAUUACUGGGCGUAAAGCGCGCGUAGGUGGCUUGAUAAGCCGGUUGUGAAAGCCCCGGGCUCAACCUGGGAACGGCAUCCGGAACUGUCAAGCUAGAGGGCAGGAGAGGAAGGUAGAAUUCCCGGGGUAGCGGUGAAAUGCGUAGAGAUCGGGAGGAAUACCAGUGGCGAAGGCGGCCUUCUGGACUGACACUGACACUGAGGUGCGAAAGCGUGGGUAGCAAACAGGAUUAGAUACCCUGGUAGUC